GGUUAGAUAAAUAAGCGUAUGCGGUGGAUGCCUUGGCAAUCAGAGGCGAAGAAGGACGUGCUAAUCUGCGAAAAGCGUCGAUGAGCUGAUAAGAAGCGUUUAAUCGGCGAUAUCCGAAUGGGGAAACCCAACUAUAAAGUUAUCGUACGAUGAAUAAAUAGUUGUGCGAAGCGAACCGGGGAGAACUGAAACAUCUUAGUACCCCGAGGAAAAGAAAUCAAACGAGAUUCCCUAAGUAGUGGCGAGCGAAACGGGAGAAGCCCAAGAACCAAUUUGAUAGAAACUUUUAGGAGAAUGAUCUUGGAAAAGACAGUCAUAGAGGGUGAUAACCCCGUAUCUAAAAAGAGUUGAUAUCUAGUUCAAAGAGUAAGACGGGACACGUAUAUCUUGUCUGAAGAUGGGGGGACCAUCCUCCAAGGCUAAAUACUACUGAUUGACCGAUAGUGAACUAGUACCGUGAGGGAAAGGUGAAAAGAACCCCGGUUAGGGGAGUGAAAUAGAACCUGAAACCGUAUACGUACAAGCAGUAGGAGUCUAAUGAUUUAGAUGACUGCGUACCUUUUGUAUAAUGGGUCAGCGACUUAUAUUCUGCAGCGAGGUUAACUUUCAUAAGGGAGCCGUAGGGAAACCGAGUCUUAACCGGCGAUAGUUGUAGGAUAUAGACCCGAAACCCGGUGAUCUAGCCAUGAGCAGGUUGAAGGUUAGGUAACUCUAACUGGAGGACCGAACCGACUAAUGUUGAAAAAUUAGCGGAUGACUUGUGGUUAGGGGUGAAAGGCCAAUCAAACCGGGAGAUAGCUGGUUCUCCCCGAAAGCUAUUUAGGUAGCGCCUCGUAUAAUUUCUCUUGGGGGUAGAGCACUGUUUCGGUCAGAGGGAUCGAAAGAUCUGCUUAUCCGAUGCAAACUACGAAUACCAAGAGUUCGAAUACGGGAGACACACGGCGGGUGCGAACGUCCGUCGUGGAAAGGGAAACAACCCAGAUCAUCAGAUAAGGUCCCAAAAUUAUGAUUAAGUGGAAAACGAAGUGGGAUAGCAUAGACAGCCAGGAUGUUGGCUUAGAAGCAGCCAUCAUUCAAAGAAAGCGUAACAGCUCACUGGUCAAGUUGUCCUGCGCGGAAGAUUUAACGGGGCUAAAAUCAUAUACCGAAGCUAUGACAGCAGGUACAUCUGCUGGGUAGGGGAGCGUUCUGUAAGCCGUAGAAGAUGGAUUGAAAGAUCUGUUGGAGGUAUCAGAAGUGCGAAUGCUGACAUGAGUAACGAUAAAGCUGGUGAAAAACCAGCUCGCCGAAAAACCAAGGAUUCCUGUCCAACGUUAAUCGGGGCAGGGUUAGUCGAUCCCUAAGGCGAGGCUGAAAAGCGUAGUCGAUGGAAAACCGGUUAAUAUUCCUGUACUAAGAGUCGAUUUCGAUGGGGGGGACGAAGAAGGAUAGACUAUCCGAGCGUUGGUCGUCUCGGUUCAAGCGCAUAAGUGGAUCGUAUAGGAAAAUCCGUUCGAUCAACACUAAGACGCAAGUACGAUUACGUCAGUAAUGAAGUAGUCGAUUCCAACUUCCAAGAAAAGCCUCUAAGAUAGCAUCGAUUUUUAAUCGUACCUCAAACCGACACAGGUGGUUAAGUAGAGAAUACUAAGGCGCUUGAGAGAACUCAGGUGAAGGAACUAGGCAAAAUAGUGCCGUAACUUCGGGAGAAGGCACGCUGACAUCAGUAAAAGAUCUUGCAUCUCUAGCUGAAGAUCAGCCGAAGAUACCAGCUGGCUGCAACUGUUUAUUAAAAACAUAGCACUGUGCAAACACGUAAGUGGAAGUAUACGGUGUGAAGCCUGCCCGGUGCUGGAAGGUUAAUUGAGGAAGUGAUCGAAAGUGAAGCUUCUGAUCGAAGCCCCAGUGAACGGCGGCCGUAACUAUAACGGUCCUAAGGUAGCGAAAUUCCUUGUCGGGUAAGUUCCGACCUGCACGAAUGGCGUAAUGAUGGCCAGACUGUCUCCACCUGAGACUCAGUGAAAUUGAAAUUGCUGUGAAGAUGCAGUGUACCCGCGACAAGACGGAAAGACCCCGUGAACCUUUACUAUAGCUUGAUAUUGAACAUUAAAUGCUUUUGUGUAGGAUAGGUGGGAGGCUGAGAAGUACGAAUGCUAGUUCGUAUGGAGCCGACGUUGAAAUACCACCCUUUAACAUUUUGUGUUCUAACUCAGAUCCGUUAUCCGGAUCGAGGACAAUGUCUGGUAGGUAGUUUGACUGGGGUGGUCUCCUCCUAAAGAGUAACGGAGGAGCACAAAGGUUGGCUAAUUACGGUCGGAAAUCGUAAGGUUAGUGUAAAGGCAUAAGCCAGCUUGACUGUGAGCGUGACGACGCGAACAGAUACGAAAGUAGGUCUUAGUGAUCCGGUGGUUCCGAAUGGAAGGGCCAUCGCUCAACGGAUAAAAGGUACUCCGGGGAUAACAGGCUAAUACCGCCCAAGAGUUCACAUCGACGGCGGUGUUUGGCACCUCGAUGUCGGCUCAUCACAUCCUGGGGCUGAAGCAGGUCCCAAGGGUAUGGCUGUUCGCCAUUUAAAGUGGUACGCGAGCUGGGUUUAGAACGUCGUGAGACAGUUCGGUCCCUAUCUGUCGUGGGCGUAGGAAGAUUGAGAAGAGCUGCUCCUAGUACGAGAGGACUGGAGUGGACAUACCUAUGGUGUUCAGGUUGUUGUGCCAACAGCAUUGCCUGGUAGCUAAGUAUGGUCGAGAUAACCGCUGAAAGCAUAUAAGUGGGAAACUUACUUCAAGAUUAAUCUUCCCAGACUCGAAAGAGUCUCUUAAGGAACGUUCUAGACUAGAACGUAGAUAGGCUGGAUGUGUAAGCGUAGAGAUGCGUUGAGCUAACCAGUACUAAUGAUCCGAGAGAUCUAUUCAA
rnacentral:rRNA from 1 species